rnacentral:rRNA from 1 species
AAAAUAGGUCAAGCUACUAAGAGCGCACAGAGGAUGACUUGGCAUCAGGAGCUGAUGAAGGACGUGAUAAGCUGCGAUAAGCUACGGGUAGACGCAAAUAGUCAUGGAUCCGUAGAUUUCCGAAUGGGGGAACCCACAUAGUGAGAGACUAUGUAUCUAGUAAUGAAUUAAUAGUUAUUAGAAGGUAGACGCAGGGAACUGAAACAUCUAAGUACCUGUAGGAAGAGAAAGAAAUAUCGAUUCCCUAAGUAGUGGCGAGCGAAAGGGGAAGAGCCCAAACCCAAGGAAACUUGGGGGUUGAGGGGGUCUAUAAUUGAGAAAGUAGGUUAGAUGAAUAUAGAUGGAAAUCUAAGCCGAAGAGUGUAAUAGCCACGUAAUUUAAAACUGAAAUUGAGAGAGACUUACCCAGAGUACCACGAGACACGAGGAACCUUGUGGGAAGCAGGGUGGACCACCACCCAAGGCUAAAUACUACCUGAUGACCGAUAGAGGAGUAGUACCGUGAGGGAAAGGUGAAAAGAACCCCGGGAGGGGAGUGAAAUAGAACCUGAAACUGUGUGCUUACAACCGCUCAGAGCACGUAAUAUGUGUGAUGAGGUGCUUUUUGUAGAACGAGCCAACGAGUUACGAUGUGUAGCGAGAUUAAGGUCUUAAGGACUGUAGUCGAAGAGAAAUCGAGUGUUAAUAGCGCGAAUAGUUGCAUGUUGUAGACCCGAAACCGGGUGACCUAUCCAUGAUCAGGUUGAAGCGAAGGUAAAACUUCGUGGAGGACCGAACCACGUUGGUGUUGAAAAACCAUGGGAUGAAUUGUGGAUAGCGGAGAAAUUCCAAUCGAACUCGGAGAUAGCUGGUUCUCCCCGAAAUAGCUUUAGGGCUAGCGUUAAUACAUAGAAUAUAGGAGGUAGAGCACUAAAUGGGCUAGGGGCCGUAAGGUUACCGAACCUUAUUAAACUCCGAAUGCCUAUAUUUGUUUAUUAGCAGUCAGUCUAAGAGUGAUAAGAUUCUUGGACAAAAGGGAAAAAGCCCAGAUCACCAGCUAAGGUCCCAAAGUAUGAGUUAAGUGGUAAAGGAUGUGGAGAUUCUAAGACAACUAGGAUGUUGGCUUAGAAGCAGCCAUUCAUUUAAAGAGUGCGUAAUAGCUCACUAGUCGAGAGUUUCUGCGCCGAAGAUAAACGGGGCUAAAACUCAUCACCGAAGCUGUGGAAUGGAAACAUUGGUAGGGGAGCGUUGUAUAAGAGUUGAAGCUAAAGCGGGAGCAAUAGUGGAUUUUAUACAAGAGAGAAUGUUGGCAUAAGUAGCGAGAAUUAGGUGAGAAUCCUAAUGGUCGAAAGCCUAAGGUUUCCUGGGGAAGGUUCGUCCGCCCAGGGUAAGUCGGGACCUAAGCUGAGGUCGAAAGGCGUAAGUGAUGGAUAAUCGGUAGAUAUUCCGAUACCACUAAUUAUUGAUUGAUCGAUGGAGGGAAGCAGAAGGAUAGGAUAGCCAACAGAUGGAGGUUGGUCUAAGAGAAGAGAUAGCAUGUAGAGGCAAAUCCAUAUAUGCGAUUAAGUUGAUUCUUUAUGGGGAGACGAAUGAGUUGAAGUAUCUGAUUUCACACUGACGAGAAAAACUUCUAGGUAGAUAAUUAGUGCCCGUACCACAAACCGACACAGGUAGGCGAGGUGAGAAUCCAAAGACCAGCGGAAGAAUUGCAGUUAAGGAACUCGGCAAAUUGACCCCGUAAGUUAGCGAGAAGGGGUGCCAUAGAGAUAUGGUCGCAGAGAAUAGGCCCAAGCAACUGUUUAUCAAAAACACAGGUCUCUGCAAAAGCGAAAGCUUAAGUAUAGGGGCUGACGCCUGCCCGGUGCUGGAAGGUUAAGGGGAGCUGUUAUCGUAAGAGAAGCAGUGAACUUAAGCCCCAGUAAACGGCGGCCGUAACUAUAACGGUCCUAAGGUAGCGAAAUUCCUUGUCAGGUAAGUUCUGACCCGCACGAAUGGCGUAAUGACUUGGGCGCUGUCUCAACUGCAAAUCCGGCGAAAUUGUAGUGCAAGUGAAGA